rnacentral:rRNA from 1 species
UACGUAGGGUCCAAGCGUUAUCCGGAAUCACUGGGCGUAAAGCGUUUGUAGGCGGAAAUCUAAGUGAGAUGCGAAGAUCUGGUGGCUCAACCACCUAGACGGUAUCUCAUACUGGGUUUCUAGAAUAUAGCAGAGGCAAGUGGAAUUAGUAGUGUAGCGGUAAAAUGCGUAGAUAUUACUAGGAACACCAAUGGCGAAGGCAGCUUGCUGGGCUAUUAUUGACGCUGAGAAACGAAAGCGUGGGGAGCGAACAGG